AUUGAACGCUGGCGGCAUGCUUUACACAUGCAAGUCGAACGGUAACAGGCCGCAAGGUGCUGACGAGUGGCGAACGGGUGAGUAAUGCAUCGGAACGUGCCCAGUCGUGGGGGAAAACGAAGCGAAAGCUGUGAUAAUAGCGCAUUCGAUCAGGGGAAGAAAGCGGGGGACGGUAAGGCCUCGCGCGAUUGGAUCGGCGGAUAUCAGAUUAGGUAGUUGGUGGGGUAAAGGCUCACCAAGACGACGAUCUGUAGCUGGUCUGAGAGUACGACCAGCCACACUGGGACUGAGACACGGCCCAGACUCCUACGGGAGGCAUCAGUGGGGAAUUUUGGACAAUGGGCGCAAGCCUGAUCCAGCAAUGCCGCGUGCAGGAAGAAGGCCUUCGGGUUGUAAACUGCUUUUGUGCGGAGCGAAAAGGCUCUCUCUAAUACAGGGGGCUCAUGACGGUACCGUAAGAAUAAGCACCGGCUAACUACGUGCCAGCCGCCGCGGUAA
rnacentral:rRNA from 1 species